UGGGGAAUUGUUCGCAAUGGGCGAAAGCCUGACGACGCAACGCCGCGUGGAGGAUGAAGACCUUCGGGUCGUAAACUCCUUUCGACCGAGAAGAAUGGCUCUCGACCUAAUACGUCGAGAGCAUGACGGUAUCGAGGGAAGAAGCCCCGGCUAACUCUGUGCCAGCAGCCGCGGUAAUACAGGGGGGGCAAGCGUUGUUCGGAAUUACUGGGCGUAAAGGGUUCGUAGGUGGCCAACUAAGUCAGACGUGAAAUCCCUCAGCUUAACUGGGGAACUGCGUCUGAUACUGGAUGGCUUGAGUGCAGGAGAGGAACGCGGAAUUCCAGGUGUAGCGGUGAAAUGCGUAGAUAUCUGGAGGAACACCGGUGGCGAAGGCGGCGUUCUGGACUGCAACUGACACUGAGGAACGAAAGCCAGGGGAGCAAACGGG
rnacentral:rRNA from 1 species